GUGUGAUCUCACCCAUCAUGACCUCAAGGUCCUUCUUUGAGGGAUCUUGCCAGGAAGUUCAGUUGGCAGGAUGGCAGCAGCAGACACACAGGGUGGUUAAGAACAACAAACACAGGCAAACCACUUCAAUAGAACAUGGCUGGCGGCCAUAUGGACAUAUUUGAAUCCAACAAUUAAUUCAGCAAAGAAAGCUGCUUGUGGCAAGUUUUGAAUGUGCCAUUCCAGGUAGUGCUUUGAUGAUAAAUGAGGAGAAGAUUGCAAAGAAAAUGACAGCAACAUUUAUAAAAGGGUCUCAUGAAUAUAACACGAUGCCCAGCACAUAGAAAGCAUACAAUAAGUGUUUGUUGGAUAACUGUGGACAGUUCAGUCGACCAGCAAAUUCCUCUUAGGACUCUAGAUGCACGGAGAGUGGCCAGAUUAAUACAGACUGGCAAAAGAAGAACUUGGCAAAGUGAUUUGAUCACACACUUCUCACCCUCACAUCUCCUGACAGUUCCCCUAAUCCCUGCCCCACUUCCCCGCCAUGGGCUUCCAUCAGGAAACUCCUUGAUAUCAUCUUCGAGAAGAAAACUGAGGCAUAGAACAUUUGGGAAUGAAUCUAAGACUACACAUCUAGAAUAGCAGAGUUACAGGAAUGCAGAUGUGAUUCCUAUGGAUGAGGGUAACCUAGAGGCUAGAAGAACAAUAGGACAGAAGAAGCCUGGGUCCCUGAACAACCUUGUGGAGCAUAGACACCUACGUGGCCUGGACUGCCAGCUCACAAUGGGCCUCUCUGUGAGAGAAGGAAACUUCCCUCUUGUUUAAGCAACUGUGCUUUUGAGAAUCUCUUGGUCUAUACCCUAAUGAAUAAGGCCAUCAUAAAUGGAUAUCAAAGUAAGGAAAUUUGUGUAAAUGAUUUAAUAAAACAUUACCUCAGGUAUGAAAUAAUUCUACCUUGUGCCUUGACAACAUCAGGUAUUAUUCAUGCCCUUUUCUCUCCCUGUAAUGUCUCUUAUCCACGGGUAGAAAUUAUAUUUUCCAUCUAAGGUUUGCUCAAAUAUUAUCUACUUAAGUAGCUCUUACCAAUUUUGCCUCUCCUCCUGAGCUGACCCUAUGCCUUCUAUGCUGUUCCAGGUAAUAUUAAUCUCUUCCUUUGUACUUCUUUCACAGAACAUACUUUUUUGUCUAACAUAAUAACUAUAGGCAUAAGUGUAUAGAUUCC
rnacentral:lncRNA from 1 species